AGCUGAGUCUGAAGAUAGUGAGUUAUCUCAGUUGAUUGUUCCCAGUCAGUAACAGAUUGAACUCCUUGUUCCACUCUUUUCCCCAUUCUCACUGCUGCACUUGACUAGUCUUUA
ensembl:Y_RNA Y_RNA Y RNA